ensembl:miRNA gga-mir-12211 gga-mir-12211
UAAGUGCUGGCCGUUGUCCUCUUAAGUACCUGUACUUAGAGGACAAUGGCCAAUACUUGCU